rnacentral:misc_RNA from 1 species
AGAUGAAAAGAUUGAUUCAGAGCAGGAUGAGAAGUGAAGGAAUUUAAUAUGUUAUAUUUAAUAGUGUAGGGUUUGCCCAAAGGAGAAAUUGGGAAAGUUUAAAUUAUUGUUUAUCCUAGAUGAAUUUUGCCUUCAUUAUUUGGUUCUUGAACGUAUGAGAACAAGGCUGGGAUAGUUUGGCACAGAGUGAAGAACAUUGCCUGAAGCAUUGAAGUUGAACUUGUGAUCGGUUUUCUAUAUAUAUAAUUUUGCUAGUUCGUCCCAAUGUUUCUUUGUAUU